AUACGUAGGGGGCGAGCGUUGUCCGGAAUGACUGGGCGUAAAGGGCGUGUAGGCGGCGGUGUAAGUCUGGAGUGAAAGUCCCGCAUUCAAUGUGGGAAUUGCUUUGGAUACUGCAGUGCUAGAGUGCGGAAGAGGUAAGUGGAAUUCCCAGUGUAGCGGUGAAAUGCGUAGCGCUUGGGAGGAACACCAGUGGCGAAGGCGACUUACUGGGCCGUAACUGACGCUGAGGCGCGAAAGCGUGGGGAGCGAACAGGAUUAGAUACCCUGGUAGUCCACGCGGUAAACGAGGAAUGCUAGGUGUUGCGGGUAUCGACCCCUGCAGUGCCGGAGUAAACACAAUAAGCAUUCCGCCUGGGGAGUACGGCCGCAAGGUUGAAACUCAAAUGAAUUGACGGGG
rnacentral:rRNA from 1 species